UACGUAGGGUGCGAGCGUUGUCCGGAAUUAUUGGGCGUAAAGAGCUUGUAGGCGGCCAAGUAGGUCCGGUGUGAAAACUCGAGGCUUAACCUCGAGAUGUCAUCGGAAACCAUUUGGCUAGAGUCCGGAAGAGGAAAGUGGAAUUUCAGGUGUAGCGGUGAAAUGCGUAGAUAUCUGAAGGAACAUCAGUGGCGAAAGCGACUUCCUGGACCAAUACUGACGCUCAUGUGCGAAAGCGUGGGGAGCAAACAGG
rnacentral:rRNA from 1 species